rnacentral:misc_RNA from 1 species
GCAUCUUGGGGGUCGUCUUGAUUGGUUUGUUUCCGGUGGUUGGCUCUCUGCUUGCGCAACAACUUCCACCUGGCAUACCUCUUCAGUUACACGCCAAGGUUUUUAUUGCCUUGGGUGCGUUGUGGUUUACUGUGUUGUAUACCUAUGUGACGGUAUUGUUUGGAUUCAUCAAUUCCCAUUCAUCUUUCGUCAUGCAUGUGGCGUGGGAUGAACCUUGAAACGAUCUCUUUGGUCUACCUUGUUGACGUAUAGCGUUCAUAUUGUGGCCCAUUGAGCAUUGCUUGGUUUCGUGGAUACAGAAUAUGAUGUGGGCAUGGGGUCUUACAUGAUCCUUGUUUUGUCCUAGUUGAGCGUUCUUGUUUCUCUAAGAUGACUGCUAGCUCGAAUUGGCUCGUACCAUCGGGUGGGAUAUGUUGUCGAAGAGAGAUGCUAGCGUUCUUGCUUCUCGAAAACGACCACCUAGCUUGUUGGCUCAUACCAGCAGGUAGGUGAUGUCGAAUAGGGAUGCUACCUGGUUGAUCCUGCCAGUAGUCAUAUGCUUGUCUCAA